rnacentral:rRNA from 1 species
GGAGGAAAAGAAACCAACAGGGAUUACCUCAGUAACGGCGAGUGAAGCGGUAACAGCUCAAAUUUGAAAUCUGGCUCUUUCAGGGUCCGAGUUGUAAUUUGUAGAAGAUGCUUUGGGUGUGGCCCCGGUCUAAGUUCCUUGGAACAGGACGUCAUAGAGGGUGAGAAUCCCGUAUGUGACUGGGUGCUUUCGCCCGUGUAAAGCUCUUUCGACGAGUCGAGUUGUUUGGGAAUGCAGCUCAAAAUGGGUGGUAAAUUUCAUCUAAAGCUAAAUAUUGGCCAGAGACCGAUAGCGCACAAGUAGAGUGAUCGAAAGAUGAAAAGCACUUUGGAAAGAGAGUUAAACAGUACGUGAAAUUGUUGAAAGGGAAGCGCUUGCAACCAGACUCGCAUGCCGUCGAUCAUCCUGAGUUCUCUCUGGUGCACUCGGCGGUAUUCGGGCCAGCAUCGGUUUGGGUGGUGGGAUAAAGGCCUUGGGAAUGUAGCUUCUUUCGGGGAGUGUUAUAGCCCUCGGUGCAAUGCCGCCUACCUGGACCGAGGACCGCGCUUCGGCUAGGAUGCUGGCGUAAUGGUUGUAAGCGACCCGUCUUGAAACACGGACCAAGGAGUCUAACAUCUAUGCGAGUAUUUGGGUGUUAAACCCAUAUGCGUAAUGAAAGUGAACGGAGGUGAGAACCCUUAAGGGUGCAUCAUCGACCGAUCCUGAUGUCUUCGGAUGGAUUUGAGUAAGAGCAUAGCUGUUGGGACCCGAAAGAUGGUGAACUAUGCCUAAAUAGGGUGAAGCCAGAGGAAACUCUGGUGGAGGCUCGCAGCGGUUCUGACGUGCAAAUCGAUCGUCAAAUUUGGGUAUAGGGGCGAAAGACUAAUCGAACCAUCUAGUAGCUGGUUCC